AGAGAACUGAUUUAUUUCCUCUCUUGGAAAUAUAUGGGGUAUUACAUAUAAGUCGGAGGAACCCAGACAGAUAGCUCAUUUCGCGUAUACUCCAAAAGGGAAUUGGAUUAAAAUUCUUAAAUCGGGAUAUGGUGGUCGACCACAAUGUUAGGAAGUCCGAAGAUGUUGGUGAGAGCCUUAGAAAGAGUUAUCUUUUCUGCUUAACAACCUGCCCACCCUAGAAUUAGCUUAGUCAGAGGUAGGGUCUAGCGGUUGGAAGAGCACCGCAUGUCGCAUGGUGUUCGGUACUCUCCUGAUGGCCCUUAAAAAUUUAGAAGACCAAAUGCCAUCCAUGCUCAGUCAUAAUCUUAACCGCAUCAGGUCUCCAAGGUGAACAAGCUCU
rnacentral:ncRNA from 1 species